AUCCUUUCUCAGCCUUUUGGCUAAGAUCAAGUGUAGUAUCCGUUCUUAUCAAUUUAAACCGGGUUAUCCCAACUGAUACAGUACUCAAUAUAUACCAACUGAAAGAAUACAUAUUUACCACAU
ensembl:snRNA U2 U2 spliceosomal RNA